CACUGCCUUCAGACUGAUGUCUGAAGGCAGUGAACAUAAGAGACAUAUAACCAGCUUAUGUAAAAUAUUUGUACAAGCUAACGUUAGUCAUAUGAAUGCUGCACAGCUAUUGGCUAACUGUUAGCUCCAUCUUGAUUCCUGCAUAAUUUGUGCAAUAAUUAUUUAUUAUGCUGAAAAUAAAAUCGUGGUCUUCCAAAAAUAAUGUCCUAAGUAAUAUUUUUACCCAAAGUGAUUUUGGCAAAAAGGAAAAAAAUAAAAAUCACCAAGACUUUUUUCUCUGCCAAAAGAUGAAUUGUGAAAACAACAACAAAUCAACCAAGUGAGGGAUUGGUGACCUGUCCAGUGUGUCCCCUGCCUCUUGCUCCUGACCACUGGAGAAGGGCAGGACCCUUUCAACCUGAAGUCUGAUAGAUAAAGUAUGAAUGGAUCAAGAGUGAGAUUCUGUCUGCAUCUUGAGAGGAACUGCUUUAGAGCCUACCACAAAAAAUGAAAACGCCUGAAAUAAUUUAAUAAAAAACAGGCAUUAAAACUUGUAAAUUGGAGGCCAGGCUUCACAGUUUUCUCAGCAUUUAUGUAAUGUAGUUGAAAGUUGAAAUUGUUCAUCUGAAAUUGUUUGCCCCUGUCAUCAGAAAGUUUUUGUUCAGCAAUAAACCUGAAAAUUUCAAUUCCGAUUUUUGUUUUUUUUCUCUUUAAACUGUUUAUACUCAAUUUUUAAUAGACAGAAAUGUUAAAUAACUAUUGAAUACUGAAAGCUGAGGUUGUUCUGGAAAAAAGAGCAAAAAUUCAGACUAAUUGCACAUUUUUUGAGAAUUUUACAGCCAUAAAAUCAGAAAAAUACCAGGCGCCCCAGUUACAAUUAUGGUCUUAAGAGGGUUAAACAGCUCAAAAUCAAAACAGUAAGGGACAACUCAGGUGGUAAAAAAAAUCAAAAUAGGCAAUGUUAAUAACCCAUAACGUGACAGCUAGACACAGAAUCAUCACAAAAGUAUUUCUCCCCUUACAGAUUUCUUCAUAAAAAAUUUAAAUAUCCCAGUAGUUUUUUGUUGAGUUUUAAUAGCCAAACAGGCCUGAUGAGGUAGAACCUGCCUGACAGCGUAAAGUUGGCUAAGAUCUAAAAAAGCAACACAACAUGUACAAAAAAAAAAUCUAAGAACAGAUGAGAAUAAAGUCAUCAACAUUUAUUCGUCUGGAAAAACAAUAAAUCGGCCCCAAUUUCCUAGAUUUUGGAUGAUUGCUGAUUGGCCAAUAACAUGAGAGACCAAUAUUAUCCAUGGAUCUUAUCCACUGCUGCAUGAUCUGAAACUCAGCCACUUUAGCUCUGCAGUGAGACGGAGCCGCCUGACAGAUCCGCCACCAGGUCACAUCUACAUGUGAAACCUUUCAGGCAAAAAAAAAGAUGAUAUCGGCAAAAUCAGCAUCACCAGGUGAGUCUUUUAGAGAUGGGUGAUCGCUCAGAAAGCUGCUAUGGAUGCACUCCACGUUAAAAAGUUACAAAGAUGUAUUUACUCCAUCAGCCCCACAUGCAAAACUCUGCAGGCCUCACUUGGUCAUGGUUCACCAAAAAACAUCUUGAGCUGAAGACGUUUGGGAAAAUAAACUGUGGAGCAGAAAGCCAAACU